rnacentral:rRNA from 1 species
UACGAAGGGUGCAAGCGUUACUCGGAAUUACUGGGCGUAAAGCGUGAGUAGGUGGUUUCUUAAGUCUGCUGUGAAAGCCCCGGGCUCAACCUGGGAAUGGCCAUGGAAACUGGCGAACUGGAGUGCGGCAGAGGGGGGUGGAAUUCCGCGUGUAGCAGUGAAAUGCGUAGAGAUGCGGAGGAACACCGAUGGCGAAGGCAGCCCCCUGGGCUAGCACUGACGCUCAGGCACGAAAGCGUGGGGAGCAAACAGG